rnacentral:lncRNA from 1 species
GUUGGGGUGAAUGAUUUCGGAUGGAAUGGAAUGAAAAAUGAACUAUUUUAUAGACAAUUUUCAAAAAAAUUCAUUCAUUCCCCCAUUACAUUCCUUACCUCAUGUGCUAGAUUUCACACCUUCAAUUUGAGAUGGAAUGCUCCAUUCUCUCUCAUCCUCAAUUUCUUCUCAAAUCUCAUCAUAACAAUUUUGCACUUCCACAAUUUUUUUUCAAAACUUUCUUUCUAUAUCUAUUAGUUUCAAGUAUUUUUACUCAUUUCAUUCCAUUCCAUUCCAU